CUACGGGGCGCGGCAGUGGGGAAUAUUGCGCAAUGGGCGAAAGCCUGACGCAGCAACGCCGCGUGAGUGAUGAAGGCCUUCGGGUCGUAAAGCUCUGUCGGGAGGGAAGAACACCUUCGGGUCUGACGGUACCUCCCGAGGAAGCACAGGCUAACUCCGUGCCAGCAGCCGCGGUAAUACGGAGUGUGCAAGCGUUGUUCGGAAUUACUGGGCGUAAAGCGCGCGUAGGCGGCUUGAUAAGUCAGAUGUGAAAUCCCUCGGCUUAACCGAGGAACUGCAUUUGAAACUGUCAGGCUUGAGUACGGGAGGGGGAAGCGGAAUUCCCAGUGUAGAGGUGAAAUUCGUAGAUAUUGGGAGGAACACCAGCGGCGAAGGCGGCUUCCUGGACCGAUACUGACGCUGAGGCGCGAAAGCGUGGGGAGCAAACAGGAUUAGAUACCCGGGUAGUC
rnacentral:rRNA from 1 species